rnacentral:ncRNA from 1 species
GACCAGAUUGGGCUCAGCAACUUGGAUUAGUCACCUGCAGCCUAGGUGACGGGAGAGGUACAGUUGUCAAAUGGUAAUACCCUAAAGUAAGUUCAGGGAGGACAGAAGCAUCUAUGAGCAGAGGGUUAAAAACGGGUUGAUCUUAAUUUUUUUACAGAUAAAAUCCUUGAAAUCAGGAGCCCAAGAUCCUUCUGACCCUUGUAAUCUCAAGUGGGAGGUGUCAGAAGAGGAUAACUGGAAUGUGGGGGCCCAAUGUUCAAAGCAAGUCUGCUUUUUAAUCCUUAGAUAUUGUUCUUCAUUGUGAAACAGACCUCAUUCAGUGUUGGACUGUUCACUCACUAAUUAAGAAUGUGAGAUGGGAUCAGGUCAUUGUGAGAUAAGACAGUU